UACAGAGGUCUCAAGCGUUAAUCGGAAUUACUGGGCGUAAAGCGUGCGCAGGCGGUUAUGUAAGACAGGUGUGAAAUCCCCGAGCUUAACCUGGGAACUGCAUUUGUGACUGCAUAGCUAGAGUACGGUAGAGGGGGAUGGAAUUCCGCGUGUAGCAGUGAAAUGCGUAGAUAUGCGGAGGAACACCGAUGGCGAAGGCAAUCCCCUGGACCUGUACUGACGCUCAUGCACGAAAGCGUGGGGAGCAAACAGG
rnacentral:rRNA from 1 species